CGAUCGUCGGCUCGCUCUGCAGGCACACAGGGAACGCGCUUCCGCUGCAAUCUUUGUGACCUCGCUACACGGUUGCUCUCCGUGAGAAGAGAAGCUGUUUGUGUUAUCAACGUUUGUGUUAUCGUUCGUGGACGGUGGAAAACAGCUUUGCUAGGAGCUUUAAACAAGGAUGCCCUUUACUCGAAAACGACGUGGGCUUAACUUUGGGUAUUGGAGCCUAUUUUUAAUCGUGACGUCGAAAAAACGAAGCUUAUCAGCAGCUUUCACCGUCUUCAUGUUUGCUGACGUGUGGGAUCAGGCACAAAGGAGCUGCUAGUAUGUUUUUAGAGCCUCUGCAUGUCGGGGAAGGAGGAAGAGGGCGACUUUACUCGGUGUCAGAGACAGAAAUGAGAAAAAGCUGAAAUGAGUGAGAAGGACGAUGUUGGAAACAUCUGUGCUGUGUCUGCUCUAUGCAGCUGCAGUCGGCUCAGCAGUGAGAACUGAAGACGUCAGUCAAAGAGAAGGAAAAACAGUCAGAGCUGAGAGAGUUUCUACCAGAGCCAAAUGUCAUCUACUCCUCACUGAAGUCGUCCACCAGUCCAACCACUGGGAUCCAGCUGCUGCUCUCUAACUGGUCCAUACAGCAGCUCCCUGAGACAUCCUGGAGACUCGGACAAUCGUUGUCAGAAAGGAAAUCACUCAAAUAAGUCAAUAACUAAUCAGAGACGUCUGAUUAUCAGACAGUUACAAGGUUGAUGGUAACACAUUUUAUAUCCUUGGACUAAACUCAGUCUGCAUCUACAGGAUGGCUCUUAUUUCAUUAUUACUGACUUUUUAUCACCAUUUUAACCUCUGCUUUAUAACUAAAGUGCUCAGCAGCAAGUUUUCAUAAAGUCAGACUAAAGUGAAAGGAGUCAAAUACAAUCUCUUUAUUGUGUUUAUUUAAAGUUCACAGAGGAAUGAAUCACUGUUUAUGUGAUGUUUGAUGUCACAGCUGUCUGUGUCACUGUGAGAGACAAUGAACAUAAAAAUAAACAUUAUUUAAAAUCUGAAUAUUAACACACAUUUAUGGAUGGUUUGUCACACAGAUUAAUAUCUUAUAAAUUUAUAUUUUUCACUAUUUUUCACAGGUACAAGUGUGUUUUGUAAUAUGAUGGAGAUCCUUUACUCCAUUAAUAAACAGCCUUCAUCUGCAA